rnacentral:rRNA from 1 species
CCUACGGGUGGCUGCAGUGGGGAAUAUUGCGCAAUGGGCGAAAGCCUGACGCAGCGACGCCGCGUGGGUGAUGAAGGCCCUCGGGUCGUAAAGCCCUGUCGGGAGGGACGCGGUACCUCCGAAGGAAGCACCGGCUAACUCCGUGCCAGCAGCCGCGGUAAUACGGAGGGUGCGAGCGUUGUUCGGAAUCACUGGGCGUAAAGCGCGUGUAGGCGGCCUUGUAAGUCUGGUGUGAAAGCCCGGGGCUUACCCCCGGAAGUGCACUGGAUACUGCAAGGCUUGAGUACCGGAGAGGAAAGUGGAAUUCCUGGUGUAGCGGUGAAAUGCGUAGAUAUCAGGAGGAACACCGGUGGCGAAGGCGGCUUUCUGGACGGAACUGACGCUGAGACGCGAAAGCGUGGGGAGCAAACAGGAUUAGAUACCCUUGUAGUC